rnacentral:lncRNA from 1 species
UAACAAAUCCUCCGAUCUACCCCUCUCUUGUUUGAUUAACUAAUCUCAUUCUUAGAUUUUGUUCGUGGGAUUGAGAAAAAAAAUAAAGAUAUUUAUAGAUUAUUCUAAUUUCUAUGUAUACUAACUAUUCCAAUUACAUUAUUUAGUUCAAAUUUUUUUUUUUUUUUUCAUUUUCUUUGAGUGUCUUCUUUGUUCCAUCUCCUUUUCCUUCAGAUAAAUCUAAUACUCUAGAUUAUAUCUUCCCACCGGUCAAAGCAAAAGAGAUACUUUGAAUAUUUUUAUAUUCUCACUUGAUAUGAUAUUUAGUAUAAUAUAGAUUAUAGAUUUA